UACGUAGGGCGCAAGCGUUGUCCGGAAUUACUGGGCGUAAAGGGAGCGUAGGCGGAUAGUUUAGUCAGAGGUGAAAUCCCGGGGCUCAACCUCGGAACUGCCUUUGAUACUGGCUAUCUUGAGUAUGGGAGAGGUGUGUGGAACUCCGAGUGUAGAGGUGAAAUUCGUAGAUAUUCGGAAGAACACCAGUGGCGAAGGCGACACACUGGCCCAUUACUGACGCUGAGGCUCGAAAGCGUGGGGAGCAAACAGG
rnacentral:rRNA from 1 species